GAGGGGUAAAAAAGUGGCGCUUCCGUUUCACCGAGUCCAGUCCGUAGGUGAGCCUAUUGUAACUCCCGCCCUUAGAUUUGGGGGCUGGCUCUAAAACAGAUGUGACUGAUACGCGGAUCUGCCGGUACGAAAACGGAUCUGGCGUAGAGUCGCCUGCUAUCUCUGCCGGUCUUUGUAUGUACAAUGGUGGAUGAAAUUGAGAGAGUGGGUUGCUUUGUUUACUCAGAGCAAGAACCCGUCGUCGGAGAGCGCCUCGGCGCCGUGUUUGGAUUCACCAGAUAAUUCAGAGGCGUUCUGARUUUGGUGAGUUUCACCACCUACUCCAGGAGCUGUGCACUGACGAGGGUCGCUUUCAGCGCUAUUUUCGUCUCACCCGAGCCCAGUUUGAUGAGCUCCUGACCCGCAUCGGUGCCCGCAUCACUCGCCAGGACACCAACUACAGGCACUCGAUUUCAGCUGAUGAGCGCCUGUCCAUCUGUCUCAGAUUUCUUGCAACUGGUGACUCCUACGGGACCAUUGCAAGCAGCUUCCGAGUGGGUAUUUCCACUGUCUCCACCAUCRUCCCAGAUGUGGUGACAGCUAUCUGGGAUUGCCUAAUGGAGGAGUUCAUGCCCGUACCUGGAGCAGAGGAGUGGAGGUCCAUUGCGGAGGAGUUUGAGGAGCAGUGGAACUUCCCUCUGUGCUGUGGUGCUCUGGAUGRGAAGCACAUAAAAUUAAAGGCACCCCCCAACUCUGGCUCCCUUUUUUUAACUAUAAGGGAGACCACUCAUUGGUCCUCCUUGCACUUGUAGAUGCCCACUACAAGUUCCGGGUGAUUGAUGUUGGGGGAUAUGGCAGAACGAGUGAUGGUGGGAUCUUGGCCAACUCCACCUUUGGUCAGGCUCUGCAUGAUGGCACGCUCAAUCUGCCUCCUGACCAGCACYUCCCUGGAGCUGACCACAGAGGACCCCAGCCCCACGUCUUCAUGGCAGAUGAGGCGUUCCCACUGCGCAGGAACUUGAUGUGUCCCUUCCCUGGACGUGGUGGCCUUACCCCAGAGCAGCGCGUCUUCAACUGUCGUCUCUCACGGGCUAGGCUGGUGGUGGAGGAUGCGUUUGGGAUCUGGUCUGGCCAGUGGAGAAUGUUUCGCCGGGAGCUGGAAAUCUCCCCARAGGUUGUGGAGAAAUGUGUGAAGGCCACUUGUGUUCUCCACAAUUUCAUGAGGGCAAAUGGGCAGGUACCUGCACUGGGAGGAGCUGGACCACAUGAAGAACCACACUUCCAGGUGUGGGGUGGAUGGGAGUGAACUACGUGGCCAGAGAGGCAACAGAUGCCAGAGAAACGUUCAUGGCCUACUUCUGUGAAGAGGGAGCAGUGUCAUGGCAGCCCACGGAGUAGUCAGGUCCUCCACAGGACUGACCCACAAUGGCUCUUUUAAGAGCCACCCA